GUUGCAUUUUUUCCGAUCAUUUCUAAUUCGGCCUCCGACGGAAUCGGACGCUUCCUACUGGCCGAAAAGAAAAUAAAAAAGUGUAACAAAAAACAAAGCGUUCGUGCGUUACGUUCGAAUUUCGAAAUAACAAAUGACGCGCGGAAAUUCAAAUUUAACUUUUUAAUUUGCGUAUGAUUAGUGGCUUUGGAUACAUGUAAAUGAGUUUGGUUUUUAUACGUUUAUGAAGUUUUUUAUUUGUAAUUAAUUAUGUGGGUAGAAUGAACUAAGUUGUCAGUGUGGUCGCGAAGAUGGUGUCGCGUUGUUGGGUUGUUGUUGUAUGUAUUUGUUUUUUGGUGACAUGUGUUACAGAUAUUGGUGCUUAUAGUCCUAGAGAAUGCGGUGUACCCCUUCGGAGACACACGCGGCAGCCACGAGAAAGGAACGCUGGACAGCUCCGCAUCAUCAAGGGCCGAGAAUCCAAACGAGGAGCUUGGCCAUGGCAGGUGUCAUUGCAGCUUCUGCAUCCUAGCUAUGGUCUGAUAGGACAUUGGUGCGGUGGCGUGCUCGUGCAUCCAAUGUGGCUUCUCACCACCGCACACUGCAUCCAUAAUGAACUCUUCAACCUGCCAGUACCAGCUCUCUGGACGGCAGUGCUCGGAGAGUGGGAUCGAGCAGAGCAAAAAGGAUCCUAUGUGCCCAUUGAGAGAAUUGUGCUGCAUCAUCGAUUUCACAACUACCAGCAUGACAUAGCCCUCAUGAAGCUAACGAAACCAGCAGACGUUAGCGCAGGAAGCAGAAUUAGGACUAUCUGUCUACCCCCCUUCGAGCCCCCGGUUACCAACUUCAACACUGAAAAGUCAUCCACCUUCUACAUGAGACCAGAAACAAGACCGGAGCUCAGUCUAGAACCAAAACGAAAAGCUGUUAAGCCGCCUAAACCAAACCCAGAUACCGCUAUGAAAUAUUUGGAAACGCUUAGCAAUUUGACAAAAACUAUUUUCUCAGGUUUUUUUAACAAGAAACAUAAAAACAUGAGAUACAACGUAAGAGUAGCCAACGACUCACAUAAAUUAACAGAACGAAAGACAGACGAUAUACAAAGAACAGAAGCGGAUAAGAAAAACUUAGAAAUAGUUUACGAUAGUGCCACUUUAGAUAGCGUUGUUAAACUUAUAAAAACUAAAAUAGGUAAAGACAGACGUCGAGUGAGUAAUAAUGAUAGGAGUGACAAGAAACUUAUGUUUGGUGAAGAGAUUGAUCCUUUUAUAGAUGGAAAUAAUAGAAUAGACUUUAGAGAUGAGUGUUAUGCGACCGGUUGGGGGAGAGAGCAGACGAAUGGGACUCUGACUGAUGUUUUGUUGGAGGCUGAAGUUCCGGUGCUGCCUUUACAACUGUGCAGAGAUAGAUAUUCGUUGACGCUACCGCUAAACGAAGGCCAUUUGUGUGCUGGCAGUACGGAUGGAAGCACAGGAGCGUGUGUGGGGGACAGCGGUGGUCCUCUACAGUGCCGUUCGAGCGGUAGAUGGCUUCUCAAAGGCCUCACCUCAUUUGGCUCAGGAUGCGCCAGAAGAGGCGUCCCUGAUGUGUAUACCAACGUAGCUCACUACGUGUCAUGGAUUUACGCUCACGUUUACGCUAGCUAGUGAAAACCCUAAUGAAGUUAGAAAUGAACUGAACAUUUAGAAAGGAGUGUGUGAUAUUUUAAACGUCAAGUAAAUAACUUAUAAAACUGUAGUACUGUGCCUUACGUCGAAAAUAUGAUACGCAAGUAAAGAAAUUCAAAGUCGAUUAACACCAUCGUCUUCAUUGACAUCAUAAAAUAUACUGCAUAAGUGUUAUUCGAUAUUGGCAAAUGUUAGAUUAGUAAAAUAUCAUAACUUAUCAAACGCUUUAGGAGAUUCAUCAUCAACACCAUCAUCAACCUGUCAAACGUCCCACCGGGCAGGAGAGGGUUUAGGCUAUAGUCCGCCACGAAGGCGAAAUUGGGGAUUUUACACGACAUGCAGGUUUCAUUGCGAUGUUUUCUUUUACCGUUAGCCAGAGAUAUAAAGUUACUAAACAUCCACAAACGUACUUAAAUUUAAAACUAAAGCAAUAGGCACAAUUGUCGACCUAUCCUUUGAUUACCAACCGGUGUCCCUCAGAGCUACUACUAUUCAUAGCUACUAGUGUCUAUUUAAUUAUUACUAUUUCAUGUUUUUAAAUUGACCUCAAUAGACAGAAAAAUAAGCAUACUUCUAAGCACUGGAGUACCUCAAGGAAACAAACUGAUGUCUUUUAGAAAAUAUCGUAGCUUAAAAGCUUUCAGUUCCACAGAACUAUCUAACUUUGAAUGGUGUUUUAAACUGACCGGCAUUAAAGAGAUGAAACGUCUUAGUUUUGCUUUGGGCGUACCUCCAGGCAUGGUCUCUAGUUUCACAGUUUCGACUAACUUUUGUUAACAUCGUACAUAAGAAGACGUACCUUAAGAAGGAUACAGUAAACUUCAAAGAUUAAUUAUACCUUCAUUGACACUUGUACUGAAGAUAUAUUGUAAAUAUGAUUUUGUACCUAAUGUUUGAUUACCAACUGUAAAUAAAUACUACUUCUAGUCUUUAAUGUACAGUAUACUUAAUAUCACUUAAGUUACCUGCCUAAGUUUAAGUUUGUAGUUAUUUAUUAAUACAAUCUACAAUUAAAAACGUGUCAAAGUUAAAGCUUUUCUGUGUUUUUACUAAAGUGUUUUUUAAUAUAUUUGUUUGUUUGUUUUUCGUUGAUUUUGUGUACUGGAAUCUCUUCAAUCUCAAUACUGUUAAGAUUU